rnacentral:rRNA from 1 species
UACGGGGGGGGGCAAGCGUUGUUCGGAAUUACUGGGCGUAAAGGGCGCGUAGGCGGUCUGCUAAGUUGGAUGUGAAAACUCUGGGCUUAACCCAGAGCCUGCAUUCAAUACUGACAGGCUAGAGUUCUGGAGGGGAUAGCGGAAUUCCUGGUGUAGCGGUGAAAUGCGUAGAUAUCAGGAGGAACACCGGUGGCGAAGGCGGCUAUCUGGACAGAGUCUGACGCUGAGGCGCGAAAGCUAGGGGAGCAAACAGG